rnacentral:rRNA from 1 species
UGGGGAAUUUUGGACAAUGGGCGCAAGCCUGAUCCAGCCAUGCCGCGUGAGUGAAGAAGGCCUUCGGGUUGUAAAGCUCUUUCGGACGGGAAGAAGUGGCGGGCUCUAACAUAGCCUGUCGAUGACGGUACCGUAAGAAGAAGCACCGGCUAACUACGUGCCAGCAGCCGCGGUAAUACGUAGGGUGCGAGCGUUAAUCGGAAUUACUGGGCGUAAAGCGUGCGCAGGCGGUUUUGUAAGACAGAUGUGAAAUCCCCGGGCUUAACCUGGGAACUGCGUUUGUGACUGCAAGGCUGGAGUACGGCAGAGGGGGGUGGAAUUCCACGUGUAGCAGUGAAAUGCGUAGAGAUGUGGAGGAACACCGAUGGCGAAGGCAGCCCCCUGGGCCUGUACUGACGCUCAUGCACGAAAGCGUGGGGAGCAAACA